rnacentral:rRNA from 1 species
AACGUAGGUGGCGAGCGUUAUCCGGAAUUACUGGGCGUAAAGCGUGUGCAAGCGGGCUGACAAGUGGUGUAUGAAAUAUCCCGGCUUAACCGGGAGGGGUUAUGCCAGACUGUCAGUCUUGAGUGCGAGAGAGGAGCGUGGAAUUCCGGGUGUAGAGGUGAAAUUCGUAGAUAUCGGGAGGAACACCGGUGGCGAAGGCGGCGACCUGGGUAGAUACUGACGCUGAGGUGCGAAAGCGUGGGGAGCAAACAGG